GCGAAGGUGGCGAAACUUGGUAAACGCACUAAUUUCAGAUAUUAGUAUCAAUUAUGAUAUUGAGGGUUCAAAUCCCUCUCUUCGCA
rnacentral:tRNA from 1 species